rnacentral:rRNA from 1 species
AUUGAACGCUGGCGGCAUGCCUUACACAUGCAAGUCGAACGGCAGCACGGGAGCAAUCCUGGUGGCGAGUGGCGAACGGGUGAGUAAAGUAUCGGAACGUGCCCAGUCGUGGGGGAUAACGUAGCGAAAGUUACACUAAUACCGCAUACGAUCUAUGGAUGAAAGCGGGGGAUCGCAAGACCUCGCGCGAUCGGAGCGGCCGAUAUCAGAUUAGGUAGUUGGUGGGGUAAAGGCUCACCAAGGCGACGAUCUGUAGCUGGUCUGAGAGGACGACCAGCCACACUGGGACUGAGACACGGCCCAGACUCCUACGGGAGGCAGCAGUGGGGAAUUUUGGACAAUGGGCGAAAGCCUGAUCCAGCCAUGCCGCGUGCAGGAUGAAGGCCUUCGGGUUGUAAACUGCUUUUGUACGGAACGAAAAGGUUUGGCCUAAUAAGCUGAGCUCAUGACGGUACCGUAAGAAUAAGCACCGGCUAACUACGUGCCAGCCGCCGCCGUAA